rnacentral:rRNA from 1 species
CCAGACUCCUACGGGAGGCAGCAGUGAGGAAUAUUGGUCAAUGGCCGGAAGGCUGAACCAGCCAAGCCGCGUGAAGGACGAAGGUGCCAAGCAUUGUAAACUUCUUUUGUCAAGGGACAAAAUCAGGCUCGAGAGCCUGACCGAGGGUACUUGGAGAAAAAGCAUCGGCUAACUCCGUGCCAGCAGCCGCGGUAAUACGGAGGAUGCGAGCGUUAUCCGGAUUUAUUGGGUUUAAAGGGUGCGUAGGCGGACUGUAAAGUCGGGGGUAAAGGCCGGGGGCCAACCCCGGGCGAGCCGUUGAAACUGGCUGUCUUGAGAUGUCGAGAGGUAUGCGGAAUGCGCAGUGUAGCGGUGAAAUGCUUAGAUAUUGCGCAGAACUCCGAUUGCGAAGGCAGCAUGCCGGCGGCGGACUGACGCUGAGGCACGAAAGCGUGGGUAUCGAACAGGAUUAGAUACCCGAGUAGC